rnacentral:lncRNA from 1 species
AUACUGCUGCUUGGAAAGAUUGGGGCUGGCAAAAGUUAAAUUAUUAACACAAUAAUUAAGGCCCUGUCUGGGAAGUAUAUACCUAAGGCUAAAGUAGGAAAGGGUUCAACACAGUCAAAAACAUUUACUUUGGAGAGAUAUACAAGUUGUGGCGUGAACGCGGAAGAUAUAGGCAAUGUAGAAGAGCUACAUAUUGCGGAGGAAAUAUUGCCCCAUCUGCCUACCAUAUUUGACGUUGCGGGAAAGGAUAACAUCGACAAUGAGGAUUUGCAGGAAAUUCUAGAACUUCUUAUCGGAGGUCAUAUUCCACCGGGAACCAGCAUUGAAUACUUGGGAGAAUUACAGAAGGAACACAAAGUUGGCUCUUUAAAGGAGACAAUAUUCAAGAAAAGCAGACCCGAAUGGAAAAUGACCAAAAUCGUGUUCGUACACAGUUGCCGGGAGAUUGUUCCAACAGAUU